rnacentral:rRNA from 1 species
GGCGUGCUUAACACAUGCAAGUCGAACGAUGAACCAGGGCUUGCCCUGGGGAUUAGUGGCGAACGGGUGAGUAACACGUGGGCAACCUGCCCCUGACACUGGGAUAACCCCGGGAAACCGGGGCUAAUACCGGAUACGGACCUUGAGGGCAUCUUCGAGGUUGGAAAGUUUUUCGGUCAGGGAUGGGCCCGCGGCCUAUCAGCUUGUUGGUGGGGUAACGGCCCACCAAGGCGACGACGGGUAGCCGGCCUGAGAGGGCGACGGGCCACACUGGGACUGAGACACGGCCCAGACUCCUACGGGAGGCAGCAGUGGGGAAUAUUGCGCAAUGGGCGAAAGCCUGACGCAGCGACGCCGCGUGAGGGACGACGGCCUUCGGGUUGUAAACCUCUUUCAGCAGGGACGAAGCGAAAGUGACGGUACCUGCAGAAGAAGCACCGGCCAACUACGUGCCAGCAGCCGCCGUAAAAC